CACCAAGCCCAGCUCGGUGUGUACGUAGGACACAAGGUUGCACUGCAUGACCCAGUCUGACUUCAAACUCUGAAUCCUGAGGUCCUCUGUGAACCCUGAGCACUGGGCUUGCAGGGGUGUCCCAUGACAUCACCUACAUCUUUCUACCAAGAAUAGACACUGGGGGGCUGGAAGGACGAUGGCUCAGCGGUUAACAGCACUGACUGCUCUUCUGGUGUGUCUGAAUAUAGCUAUGGUGUGUAAGUGUACUCAUAUAAAUAAAAAUAAGUAAAUCUUUAAAAAAAAUAGACACAGGGGACCUACUAGGAGGACCUUACAAGUGUCUUCCAUGCUUGAGGGUGGCCAGCUAGAUGACAGGGAAAGCAUAUGGGUGAAUGU
rnacentral:lncRNA from 1 species